rnacentral:lncRNA from 1 species
CUCAUUGCCUCCCCGUCCCUGUCUCCCCUGACACUCGUUCCUCCAGAAGCCCGGUAAACCCCGUCCUUACGAGCCCCGCCCCUAGCUCUUCUACUACGGAGGGGAACUGCAGAGCCAGAAGAGCACGGAGCAGCAACUCGCAGCCCAAUUGGUGACGCUGCAGAAUGAACUGGAGCUGGCGGAGACCAAAUGCGCCUUGCAGGAGGAGAAGCUGCAGCAGGACGCGCUGCAGACAGCGGAGGCCUGGGCCAUAUUCCAGGAGCAGACCGUAGUCCUGCAGGUGCGGCCCCACUCAGACGCCAAGGUGCCUCCCGCCUCUCCUCCCCCAGACCUGGGGCGGUGUGACGGGCAGCUUCGCAGAGUGCAGUACAGCACCGAGUCGCUCAUGGAGGAGAUGGCCAGGGCGGACCGAGAGACGCGGCUGUUCGGCGGUCCUCGCGCGCUGGCCAUCAGGUGAGCAGGGCGGUGGGCGCGGCCGC